GUAGACAAUGUGAUAGCUAACUCUCAAUCAUAGUCAACUUGGACCCACUACUCUAAUUCCACAACUUUCACAUAGGGACGUUAUCCUUACCCUUAUAGAACUCCCCACUGCCGGUCAUAGCUCUGAGCAAAAAUGCACAGUCAACAUUGUACACAGGCUUCCAUUUUAUGUGAUGGUAAGACAAGUAAUGAUUAUUUAGCUAAAAUUGUCAAUAGUGAAACAUUUUUAUAUUGACUGAUUGUGUGUCCCCCUUUUUCCCAUAUUGUAAUUCUUUAUAUGUUUCCCCUUUUGUUUUGUGUUGAUCUCUCAAUGUACUUGUUUUUUUAUUUGUAUGUUACUUAUGAUUAUGAAAAAUGAUAACUAAAGAAUACCUAAAAUAAAAGAGAUGUGAGAAAGGAAAUUAACUGUGGGCCAUUGGAUGAGAUACACAUGAAAUAAAUGGAGAGACAUGGAGUGAUACAACAAUAUGGAAUGAUGGCUGGGGACAUGAACUGUGGGAUAACAAAUGAG